UGGAUGUUGCAGAAUCACAGGGGCUAUGGCUAUUACAUUAGAAUUAAUAUAAUGAAAGUUUUAAAUAAUUAUACAUUACACACAUAUUAAAACUCCAAACCAAAACAUGAAUUCCUCACUGCCAAGGACAACAUUAUCACAAACACAAGAUGCCACCAAUUGGGACACCAGGUCAGGUCAUGCCAGUCUGCGAUGGAGUGUGAUAUGGCAACUUGUAAUUGGGCAUCAGAAGCAGGCAUGACUAACUGCAAGUCAUCCAGGCUGACAGCUGCGAUCCCAACAGGAGUGCUCUGGUCACAUGGAACUAUGGGG